AUAACACCUCUCAACUUUGAUGACUAACAUUGAAUGAAAGUUUAAUUCUUCAAGUAAUUCUGGUAUUAUCUCUUUCCCAGGGCAGUACUUUGAGUUUCGUUUUCGUUUUCCCUACAUUUCUGUUUCCUAAAAAUCUGGGCAGAAUUGUCUGGUGUACAUGUCCAUACAGACUCAGCUAUGUUGUGGCUAGAAACCAAGAAUUUAGGUGUAUCCAGUCUUUAUCACUGUUCCCUCCCUUAUUUAAACAACUGACAGAAAACUGCUUUUGAACCCUGGGCAUCUGGUUGUCAACUAUGAGAAUAGGAUGCUGGACUAGAACCACCUUUGUCCUGAUCCAGCAGUGAUCUUUUUAUGUUCUUAAAAAAGCCGGUUUAACUUGUUCCAUUAGACAGAUUUGUAAAAAUGUUUCCAAAGUGAAAGAUCUCCAAAUGUAUUUUUGCAUCAAUGGAAAUUGGUAUUUUUAAAUAUAUAGGAUUCAAAAGGAAACAUCGGGUGUUCUGAAGCUGAACAAAAGUGCAAUGCCAGUAAUAUUUAUGAUCCAGUUGUGAACUAUUGUAGGGUACAAUGAGGAGAAAGAGAAGUAGUAGUUUAGGAUUGUCAUCAUUCCUUUCUCCAUCCAUCCAUUCCAUCCGUAACCUUGGGAGAAGGGGUUAUUGAAGGUAUUUGUUCAAUUUCUAACACCAUGUGAAUCCAACCAGAAAAAUGUAUAGGCUGAUCGCUGCGAGCCCAGACCACGUGCUUUUAGCAAGUUAUCUUUAUAAUUUCUAUACAAAUAAUUUAGAAACAUUUACCAAUUUUUGAAACUAAGUUAAACUGUUUGUGUUUUCUUGCUGCUGUAUGGAAAAGCACAUGAAUCUGACCUUUGAAGAGUUUGUAAGCAAACCAUUUUUAACUUAUCGAACAUGUCUUUUUUUAAAUGCUGUGGGAAGAAAGGAGAAAUAUGGAAAGAAACUUAGAAGGGGAUAUUUUAAAGGUCUGAAACGCCUUCAGGAUGUUGUCAGUGAAAGAGCAAAUCAUUAGGUCUGCAAGAAUACUAUGUGGGCCAAAGCUUGUUAAGAUCUGUCUCAUGUAGCUCAAAACACUGUCCUCUUUCAACUUUCAAUUUUUGCUUAUGUUACCUGGACUAGUCAAAACAUUGAAGUAGUUUUAUGGUACUUCCUUUUUAAAAGUGGAACUUUAGAGUUAGAUCCUUUGUUCUACAGCUUAUAAGUGCAGCUAUUUGCUUUUUAAGUUUUAUUCUGAAAGUAGGAGCCAGUUCCUACUAUGAGAAGGACCAAAGUUUUCAGAUUGCAGCCACCAUAUGUUAGAGAUGUAAUAACCAGUCAGUUGUUCCUUAGUGUGAUUAUUCUCUUGGUUUGAAGUUCACUUGGAGAAAUAGCUUGGUUUUUAUUUGUUGAAAGAACAUUAUUACCUUCUGCACAUUAUUUUAAUGUGACAUAAGUUGGACAAUUCUUACUUCUAGUCAUUCAUAUACUAAAACCUGGUAUUUUUCACUUCCUAGUUGAGAGUGAAGAGGUGUCACUUUUUUAUCUGAUGCUUGGAUAGUGCUUUGAUUUGAAUCAUGAGCAUAACUUUCAAGGGCUGUACUCUUAGCUGCAGGUAGGAUGGCUGACUGUCUGCAGGAUGAAAUGAAAUAGGGUUUGGGAUUGUUUUUGUUGCUGGUGCAACAGCAGAGGCGAAAGUAGCCUACAAUUUUCUAUUGUAGGCUGUACUGGGGAAAUAUUAUCUUCUGUUAUCUUAGUAUCUCAUUUUAUUUUCGUUUCUUAAAAAGGCUUUUAGACAGAAGCACUCUUUGUAACUUCCGGAGCUUACAUUGCUUUCACUGUAGUGACUGAUGCUUACAUACUGUAAGCCAACGAUGAAAAGCAUGUCAUACUCUGCAGUUGAUUUCUUAGUUCCUCAGGUAACAUGCCUGCUUACACUUUGAUGAGCCUGGCUAUGCACUGCAGCUGCUUACAAACAACCAUAUCUGAGUGUCUGACAUCCGAAAUAUCUCUCUCCCACAACUCUCUCCCCAAAAACAGGAAAGGCUGCAGUGGCUUGAAGCACCAAAUGAACAUAUGCCUUUCUCUGAUCUCAGGUAGAAGAAAUUACCCCCACCAAGUCAUAGGAGUAGGAAAUGUACCAUGUUUGUGAGAAGUUAUGAUUGCAAAUUGAGUAUUAGCAACUUUCCCCCCAAAUAAACAUGGUAAGAUAAUACUUUUUUUAAAACCCUCAACCAGCAACAAGAAAAGAAAUGCAUCCUUUCUUUGGACAAUACAUUUUUCCAAUUCCAGUGAUUUGCUGGGGCUCUUUGCUUAAGAAAGUGGGGGGAAAUGAGGGUUUAGCAAUUGCUUCAAGCCACUUCUUGUUUGCCCAUUGUACUGCUUGGGGGCAGGAAACCUUGGCAUUCUAAACAGGUGCACUGGUUGCUUCUUCUGUGAGAAGCUAUAAUUUGUAACCAGUUACUGCAUUCCUAUUAAUAAAUACUGCUCCCCAAAAGUAUAAUUUUGCUUGUGUAGUAUCUACACAAAAGUUAGCCUUAAUUGGGUGUUUUUGUACAUAAGAUAUAUGUAACUAUUGUAGGAUUUAGUCUUCAUUUUCUAUUACUGGCAUUGGGUACCAAAUUAAUUUUGAACUCUUUAUGCUUAAGAGUCUCUAAAGAAGAGAUUUGAUGAGGAGCACCCAAUGAAGGUAUGGGAUAGGCAAAGUUCUCUGGUUGGUAGGACAAAUCUUCAGCCCUGCUGGGCUCACGCCAAUAGGGCGGAAAGUGUGUCCUGCCUCCCACAUGAAAUAUAUUCUAUCCCAUUGGUCUUAAAUGGAGGGAAAACAAGUAGACCAGUCCCAGGAGUGGCAUAUGCCCCCCUUUAUCUGAGGGCAUGUCAAGGGAUUAGAAAGGCUUGGAAUCCCACAGAAACAUGCUGAGGAUCAUCCCCCCCCCCCGGCUGCUGUUGGGACAUGGGGGGCAGCAACUAAGAUUUCCAUGGCUGCACUGAAUGCACUGAAGUCUUCCAGUCUAAUAGGUAGUAAGGUGAAAUAGAAGAGCCAUGGUUUCCAAGGAAAUGAAGCUGAUAAACAAUUAGUGCUUCAAUACAGAAAAUGUCAGUGUAUUUGUGUUUUAAUAAUUGGAUAGGGAAUGAAAAUCCCCAAGUGCCACAGGAUCUAAAAUGUUGAGCUUUUUAUAAAGUUAGUACCUCUCUGGCAAUGACGGCUUUGAAGGUGUGUUACUUGUUACAUUUUUACUGUGUAGCAUAAAAAUGCACUGAGCUUAGUAGACUCAGCUGUGUGUACUGUUAUUUUUUGCAUUCCCCCCACAUCAGUUGAUCUUAAUUUCUCAAGGGCUCUUUCUCAAAGUAUCUGCCCUCCAAACCUAUCUAUAUUUUCUUAUCUCAAAGGCUGAUGCUGAAUUUCUUAUUAAUAAUGAUUUAAUAGGUUGUAUUAUAUUUUGUACUAACUGCAACUUGGUCUACAAGAGGUUAUUGAUCCUGCAAUAUUUGACUUGAUAGAAUUAUAUAUUUCCAUAAUACUUUGGAAAAAAUCCGUGUAAAUAUGAACCUUAAUUAAAACACUUGUUUCUGA
rnacentral:lncRNA from 1 species